AAGAAUAUGACUGUAGACUAUGCUAUUCCUUCUACCAAAAAAGCAAUGGAAACCCAUAGGAAAAGCAAGUUUCCCCAUGACAUGGUGGUAGCCAAGUCAAAGGACUGUAGACCAUCAUUGGGGUGAGGACAUUUCAAUGUGGUGAGGACACUGCAAAUUCCCAGUGCAUGGUGCAAACUAGACAACACUCACAAAAUACAUAUUGGUAUUCCACAUGGCCUCAGUCUACAAUUGCAAGAUAUGGCAAUCUACCCCAUCCCUAGGAUCAUGAAUUCUUUGCAAAACAAACUACUGCAUAUCACAUUUCUGAAUCACCUCUGUUAAUCUCCUUCCUAUGGAAAAUAAA